GAUGAACGCUGACAGAAUGCUUAACACAUGCGAGUCGAUGGGGAAGUGGUGCUUGCCCCAUGGCAACCAUGGCGGACGGGUGAGUAACGCGUAAGGGACUUACCUGCAGGACUGGGAUAACAGGGGGAAACUCCUGACAAGACCGGAUAAUGUCAUGGAGCUGCAUGGCUUUAUGAUGAAAGGAGACGCCUGCGGAGAGCCUUGCGUCCUAUUAGCUAGUUGGUGAGGUAAUGGCUCACCAAGGCGAAGAUAGGUAGCCGGCCUGAGAGGGUGGACGGCCACAAGGGGACUGAGAUACGGCCCUUACUCCUACGGGAGGCAGCAGUGGGGAAUAUUGGACAAUGGGGGCAACCCUGAUCCAGCAAUUCUGUGUGCACGAAGAAGGUUUUCGGAUUGUAAAGUGCUUUCAGCAGGGAAGAAGUAAGUGACGGUACCUGCAGAAGAAGCGACGGCUAAAUACGUG
rnacentral:rRNA from 1 species